UCCAGUUGGCUAAUUUGGAUCCUAUUUAGCGGUUACAUCAGCUGGAUUUCAUGGCUUGCUGUUUUACAUCAUAUUUGACAUAAACAUUGUUUCUGUUAUUACACAGUUAACAAGAGAGGGCAGCACGGCGAACCAUCAUCUAGCGACACUUUUUUCUUCGAGUGUCGAGCAACUCUGGGAACAUUUAUUGGGUGGUCCCGAGCUUCGAAAACACGUGGGCGAAUAAUGGAGCAAAAAUUAGUGUUAAACACCGAAAGAGGAGCAAUUUGGAGAGCAGCAUGGGAAGAUUCAUGAAUUUCCAUUUGGCAUAUAAUAUAUUAUGGGAAAGAUCAUCCAAUCUGGAGUCUAACGCAAAAAGAUGGGUUGCAAAUCAGAGUUGUAGAUAAAAUGUCAUGCGAAACUGAAGUUGGACUGCAGAGACGAGUACAAGCACUGUCGGUGUAAGGUGGUGGUGCGAGUUGAAGCAUCACUGGUUCAAGUUAGCGGCACCAAACUUCGUGGAUGGUCUCAGGGUGGUGAUUCUGGUGUUUUGGGCACAAAUUUCAAGCAAAUCUAACCCUACGAUGGAUAUCUCCACUCAAUUUGCUUAUUACUUAAAUGAUGUGUAACUAAACUCAUUUGUUAGGAUAAUUGGAGUAACCCAAUUUUGAAGAUUGGCUCCGACAAUGUAUAAAGUGCAUCUCUUUACCAACACUAGAGUAUCUACCCUUGUGUUAGAGACUUGAGCAUGAAUCAAUUAAAAGUAAUUAUAGAGGAGUUUUAUGGAAA